rnacentral:rRNA from 1 species
CACGUAGGCGGAGACUUAAGUCAGGUGUGAAAGACCGGGGCUCAACCCCGGGGUUGCACUUGAAACUGGGUUUCUUGAGGGCAGGAGAGGAAAGCAGAAUUCCUGGUGUAGCGGUGAAAUGCGUAGAAAUCAGGAGGAAUACCAGUGGCGAAGGCGGCUUUCUGGACUGACCCUGACGCUGAGGUGCGAAAGCGUGGGUAGCAAACA